AUUGAGUAGAGACUAAAGCAAACAGCAGCCUCCACCCGCCACCCCAGGAACCUCGUGCUUCUAGGGCACCCACCACCCAGAGAAAUGGAAGUCAAGGACUCAGCAGUCCAAGGCAGCCCUUCUGAAGCAACUUCAGGGGCUCAGCAAAUAUUUGUUGAGAACCUCCUCUGUGCCUGGCUGGAUCAGGGUGGGGCUGUAGAGCUGCACAUCAUAGUCUGCAUCCGGGUCAGCCCUGAAUCUCAGGCACUGGAAGGUUACCCUGAUGGGCAGGACCCACUCCCAUCACUAAGAGAACAUCAAAAGGGCAGGUGUGGGGGUGGAUAGGAAGAUCAGGAUCUCUGAAAGGGUGUUUUUCAGAAAUUUGCAUUGUGGUAACCUACAGACUCCACCUGGACCCAUGAUUCAUGACUCAACCAGUCCACCCAGAAGCUGACUCAGAGCAUAAGGAGCAUUUUCCACACCCCUAGGAUUUCAUCUCCAACCAAUCAGCAUUCCCCAUUCUCUAGCCCCUGUCCACCAAACUAUUCUUUAAAAACCUUAGCUCUAAGCUUUAUUUAUUUAUUUAAGUAAUAAAAUUUCAGUCUACCAGAGUCA
rnacentral:lncRNA from 1 species